GGCGGCUACCACCCGGUGUGUGUGGGCGAGGUGUACAGCGAGCGCUACCGCGUGGUGCGCAAGCUGGGCUGGGGACACUUCUCUACCGUGUGGCUCUGCUGGGACCUCGCGGCGAGUGAGAUGGUGGCCAUGAAGGUUGUGAAGAGCGCCCAGCACUACACGGAGACAGCGCUUGAUGAGAUCCGCCUCCUGCGCUGUGUGCGUGACGCUGACCCCACGGACGCCAGGAGGAGCCGCGUGGUCGCGCUCCGGGACGAGUUCCG